GUUCAGAGCUCCGCUGUGCGCCAGCCAUCAGGACGGCAGUGACAGCCCAUCCCCGCCCUCACAUGGCUCCAAGACUGAGAGGGGACCGAAAGGAGAGCUGCGUCCACAGGGAGACUAGGGCUGGGAUAGCGGCAGCCUGGGCACCAUGUGUUCCCUGAGGAACCCCAACACAGCCCAGGGAGGGUCCCAAAGGAAUCAGCCGCAUGGUCAAGACCCAGAGAUGGGGUGUCACCCCAGAGCCCAACAACUAGGCCGCACCUGCUGGUCACCUCCCACGGCGCCGCCCACAGUCUCGUCCUCAUCCUCCUCUCACGGUGGCACCCACCCACCCUCAGACCAGACCAGGAGGCUACACCUCACAUCCGCAUCCUUAGGUGGGGCUCUCUCCCCACCCAGCAGCCGCCACCUGGGGGACCCUGGGGGCUGCCCUCGACCUGCUGUCAAGUCACCAGGGACCCUUCCCUCCAUGGAUCCUGCCUCUCACGGGGAAGGUGAGCUCACCCCGAGUCUACCUGAGGGAUCCUCCCCUCCUCCCGGGUCUCCUUUCCGGGGGCCCCUGCAGGCUCUCUGCCUAAAUGCCUCCCCAUUCAGGACGCCACGUGGGGCUCACUGCCCCCCCAGACUGUGAGGAGCUUCCCUUUCCCCACAGACACCCUGAAACCCGGGGUGCAGAAAAGGUCUGUGUGCGCAAUCGGGGUUCCUUUUCCUGGAGUCGUGAGAGAAGAAGCCAGGUAGGCCGAGAAGAGCAGAGAUCCCAGUGUCAGAGUCGCAUGAACUACGAUGACAAUGGCGCCUGUUGUGUUACGUGAGCACUUGACAACAGAUCGUCUGUUUUCCAUUUUCCAGAUGAGGCAAGAGGAGACCAGAGAGGCAAAGAACAGUGCCAGGCGCCCAGGCAGGACUGUCCCAUGACCCACGCGGGACUGGCGCACACGGGAGAAAAUGCUGGUUACAAAGUACCUCGAGUGGGGCCUCCCGGGCAACCGGAAGCCGAGCCUCCUUGGGCACCAAGGGCAGCAGUGUUUGGGCCCAGGGGCGGGGGCUCUGGGUGGGCCGGGGCUCCCAGACUCCGGGUUCAAGGACAGAAGAAGGUGACCGAGAAGGGGCUCUGCGACCCCUGGCCCAGCGGCCCUCAGCCCCCUUCCUGUGCCAGAGGCUGCAUUUGAAACUGAAGAAGCAGCCGCAGGAUGCGCGGGCCUUAGAGAUCGGGCUGCAGAUAAUCUCCUUUGAUCAUUCGGAGGAAACCCUGAACGGGUGGAAACAGGGCUGGGAAAGUCGUGGGGCCUUCGCCCCUGUGGGGUCCGGGAAAUGUUCAUGCAAAGAGCCUCGGGAGCCGCCCAGGGCUGGCCCUUCACCCCCGGCUCUUGCCCACGCUGCCCCAGCCUGAAUUCGCUCCAGCUGCCUGGCUCCUCGUCCUCCACCAGGUCCCUGCUUGAACGUGGCUUCCUCCAGGAAGCCUUCCGGUCCUCAAACUGGAGCAUCUGAUUUGCCUGAAGUUGAGCAGGACAGAUUUAGCACCAUCGGGAGGGGACACGGAGCCACUGCUGGAGAACAUCUGGCAGGUGGCUGGGAGUGGAGGAGGGGGAUCACAAUGAGCCAAGUGCAGAAGGGUGUCAGCCCCCUCCACCCAGGGGCCCUCCUGGGUUACCUCCCACAUACUGUGGAGCUCAACUGCCUUCAGCCAGGGGUCAGACAGAUGGCACCUUUUAUCUCUUUCUUGUUCUUUUCUGGAUCUGCCACUUAUCACUGAGGGUCCUUGAGUAAGUUCCUAGACCUCUCUGUGCCUUUGUUUCCUCAUUUAGAAAACGGAGAUGAUAUGGUACAUAUGUGGUGGGGCUGUUAUGAAAAUUAAAACAAGCCUAGAACUAAAUUGUGCUCCAUUAUUGCCACCACCAUCACCACCAUCAAUGGAUUUUCCCAGUUUCUUCAGCCCCUGGGUGACGGCUGUCCAAGUGCAGCCGCCAGCUUCUCUUGCGCCCUCCAGAGGCAUCUCUGAGUACUGCACGCUCCCAAGCGCAGCUCUGGAGGCUCAAAAAGUUGGAGAUGACCAUCCCCACCGUACUCCCAAAUAUAAAUGAACCCAAACAGUUUAAUUCGGAGGAACACUGAUGAGUCACAUCAAGUGCAAAGGCCUGG
rnacentral:lncRNA from 1 species